GACAGAGGUGCCGAGCGUUAGGCGGAAUCACUGGGCUUAAAGCGUGUGUAGGCGGACUUCUAAGUACCUUGUGAAAUCCCACGGCUCAACCGUGGAACUGCUCGGUAUACUGGUCGUCUUGAGCCACUUAGGGGCAGUCGGAACAGAUGGUGGAGCGGUGAAAUGCGUAGAUAUCAUCUGGAACGCCAACGGUGAAAACAGACUGCUGGGAGUGCGCUGACGCUGAGACACGAAAGCUAGGGGAGCGAACGGGAUUAGAAACCCUCGUAGUCC
rnacentral:rRNA from 1 species